rnacentral:rRNA from 1 species
CCUACGGGCGGCAGCAGUGGGGAAUAUUGCACAAUGGGGGAAACCCUGAUGUAGCGACGCCGCGUGAGUGAAGAAGUCCUUCGUUAUGUAAAGCUCUAUCAGCAGGGAAGAAAGUUACGGUCCCUUAGUAAGAAGCCCCGGCUAACUCCGUUCCAGCAGCCGCGGGCAUACGUAGGGGGCAAGCUUUAUCCGGAGUUACUGGGUGUAACGGGAGCGUAGACGGCAGUGCAAGUCUGGAGUGAAAUGCGGGGGCUCAACCGCCGGACUGCUCUGGAAACUGUAAGGCUGGAGUGCAGGAGAGGGAAGUGGAAUUCCUGGUGUAGAGGUGAAAUGCGUAGAUAUCAGGAGGAACACCAGUGGCGAAGGCGGCUUACUGGACUGUAACUGACGUUGAGGAGCGAAAGCGUGGGGAGCAAACAGGAUUAGAUACCCCAGUAGUC